UACAGAGGGUGCGAGCGUUAAUCGGAAUUACUGGGCGUAAAGGGUGCGUAGGUGGAAUGUUAAGUUUAGUGUGAAAGUCCCGGGCUCAACCUGGGAAUUGCACUGGAUACUGGCAUUCUAGAGUACAGUAGAGGGUAGUGGAAUUUCCGGUGUAGCGGUGAAAUGCGUAGAUAUCGGAAGGAACACCAGUGGCGAAGGCG
rnacentral:rRNA from 1 species